UCAGAAUCUGCAUUCAGUACAUCGAGAAGAAUUAUUAAUAAUUAUCGAAGUUCAACUGCUCCCGAAAAUGUAGAGUCAUUAAUCUGCACACAAAGCUGGAUUCGUGAUGCAAGCAACUUGUGUGAAAGUUCUCAUGAUGCAGAGCACCAUUAUGACGAGGAAUGUUAAUCGAGUGCAUGCUUAUUAUGGUGGACAUUUCAAGCUACAACCAUGAAUUCUCUACUGACGACUGACGUUAUCAUUUCUUUGCAUUUUUUUGUUGCUCUCAGAUAUGGGUGUGACAUCUUUGUAUAAUAUCUUGUGCAGAGUCUUGAAGUUCAUGUCAAACUUAAACUAUGUUGAACAUUAUUGCAGUUUACAGGAUCUAUACAUCGAUGUUUGAUAGGGUGUAUU